rnacentral:sRNA from 1 species
AGGAUGAAAUUGAUUCUGCAGUAAAGAUGUUGCUGUCGUUAAAAAUGAGCUACAAAGCUGCCAUGGGGGAGGAUUACAAGGCUAACUGUCCUCCAGGGAACCCAGCACCUACCAGUAAUCAUGGCCCAGAUGCCACAGAAGCUGAAGAGGAUUUUGUGGACCCCUGGACAGUACAGACAAGCAGUGCAAAAGGCAUAGACUAUGAUAAGCUCAUUGUUCGGUUUGGAAGCAGUAAAAUUGACAAAGAGCUAAUAAACCGAAUAGAGAGAGCCACCGGCCAAAGACCACACCGCUUCCUGCGCAGAGGCAUCUUCUUCUCACACAGAGAUAUGAAUCAGGUUCUUGAUGCCUAUGAAAAUAAGAAGCCAUUUUAUCUGUACACGGGGCGGGGCCCCUCUUCUGAAGCAAUGCAUGUAGGUCACCUCAUUCCAUUUAUUUUCACAAAGUGGCUCCAGGAUGUAUUUAACGUGCCCUUGGUCAUCCAGAUGACGGAUGACGAGAAGUAUCUGUGGAAGGACCUGACCCUGGACCAGGCCUAUAGCUAUGCUGUGGAGAAUGCCAAGGACAUCAUCGCCUGUGGCUUUGACAUCAACAAGACUUUCAUAUUCUCUGACCUGGACUACAUGGGAAAUCUAAAAUAUGGGCUCAGCCACAGCAUGAUGGCAUUUCAGAUUUUCAUCCUCAGCUGUGCCAGGAAGUCCUGCCUUGCAGUUUCUCACCAAGGAUAGUCAGUCUUCCAGAGUUAUGUCUUCCUCCUUUUCAACGCACCUUUUCCUCACAGAGAAAAGACUCAGUGGUUACACAGUUCCCUCAGUCUAGUUCUUUUAAUCAGCCAUUUAAUAAACCAAAAUAUUUCAUUCUGAAAA